rnacentral:lncRNA from 1 species
UGCUUGUGUAUACUGUGGCUAGCUCAUGUGUUUAUUCGAUCUGUUUGGAUGAAUAUAUUUAUCAUUUCUAAUGACUAGACGCUAUAUUUGCCCAUUAACAUUAACUUUACAUGUUAUAUGUGACUGUCAGUGGUAUAGUCGAGUGUUUAUCCUGUGCUGUGAAAUAUAUUUGUUUGUCUUGUGUAUAUAUUGUGCCGUAAUAAAAUUGAGUAACUU